rnacentral:lncRNA from 1 species
AAGUGCACGCCGCGCGGAGGACGAAGAGGCUGCACGCACAGCCGCUGCCGGGGGUCGGGGCCAAGUGCGCGCCUCGCCGAGGACGAAGAGGCUGGCGUGCCCGGUGGCUCGGCUAGCUCCCGGGUCCCGGCCCCGCCUGGAGGGUGGGUCCGCCGAUUACUCACUUUGUUUUUAGGGGAUUUCAGGGCCCCCUCCCGCCGAUCGGCGGAGUUUGGUGAUGUCACUCUGGGCCGGGUCUGGAGCAAAGCCAGGGCUACUGGGCUGCGGCCGCCCGCCCCGCGCAGGGAAAAGCCCGACCGGGCCUUCUGCUCCGCAGAGGCCGGGUGGUUGAACUCCGCGCGGGUUUCCUAACCGCUAAAGGUGCCUUUCGGUGGUGGCUGUCUCAGAAGCACGUUAAAAUGUCCUACCCACCCCAAUCUAGAUGCGGCUGUGGGGGAAUGGGAGCGGCCGGACCUCCCAGCCUGACAGUGCAUCAAGAGCUUUGCGGAGCCUACAGCCCGGAUGGGACGACUGAGGCCCUCCCGCUGGCGAGCUGGCCGAGGGCUCGUCCCUCUCCAGCUAAAGCGCCAGCUUACGAUACAGCCAAACUGCCGGCUCUCAUCGGCUGUGGGAGCAGGAGGCCCCCAGGGGUAAAUCCCGGAGCCUCGUCUCUGAAGCCUGGCGCUUGUGUCUCAGAAGAUGGAGUUCCUCUCUUGUGGCCCAGGCUGGAGUGCAAUAGCACCAUCUCGGCUCACUGCAACCUCUGCCUCCCAGGUUCAAGUGAUUCUCCUGCCUUAGCCUCCUGAGUAGCU